GAUGAACGCUGGCGGCGUGCCUAAUACAUGCAAGUCGAGCGAACGGACGAGAAGCUUGCUUCUCUGAUGUUAGCGGCGGACGGGUGAGUAACACGUGGAUAACCUACCUAUAAGACUGGGAUAACUUCGGGAAACCGGAGCUAAUACCGGAUAAUAUUUUGAACCGCAUGGUUCAAAAGUAAAAGACGGUCUUGCUGUCACUUAUAGAUGGAUCCGCGCUGCAUUAGCUAGUUGGUAAGGUAACGGCUUACCAAGGCAACGAUGCAUAGCCGACCUGAGAGGGUGAUCGGCCACACUGGAACUGAGACACGGUCCAGACUCCUACGGGAGGCAGCAGUAGGGAAUCUUCCGCAAUGGGCGAAAGCCUGACGGAGCAACGCCGCGUGAGUGAUGAAGGUCUUCGGAUCGUAAAACUCUGUUAUUAGGGAAGAACAUAUGUGUAAGUAACUGUGCACAUCUUGACGGUACCAAAUCAGAAAGCCACGGCUAACUACGUG
rnacentral:rRNA from 1 species